rnacentral:rRNA from 1 species
CAGCCGCCGCGGGAAUACGUAGGUGGCAAGCGUUGUCCGGAAUUAUUGGGCGUAAAGCGCGCGCAGGCGGAUCAGUCAGUCCGUCUUAAAAGUUCGGGGCUCAACCCCGUGAGGGGAUGGAAACUGUAUGCCUUGAGUGCAGGAGAGGAAAGCGGAAUUCCCAGUGUAGCGGUGAAAUGCGUAGAUAUUGGGAGGAACACCAGUGGCGAAGGCGGCUUUCUGGACUGUAACUGACGCUGAGGCUCGAAAGCCAGGGGAGCGAACGGGAUUAGAGACCCCAGUAGUCCCUGUCUCUUAUACC